GAGUUUGAUCAUGGCUCAGGAUGAACGCUGGCGGCGUGCUUAACACAUGCAAGUCGAACGGAGUUAUCAUUUCAGAAGCAAUUAGCUUGCUGAGAGUGGAAGAGAGGAUAACUUAGUGGCGGACGGGGUGAGUAACGCGUGGGGGAACCUGCCCUGCACCGGGGGGAUAACACUUGGAAACAGGUGCUAAUACCGCAUAAGCGCACGAGGCCGCAUGGCCAGGUGUGAAAAACUAAGGUGGUGCAGGAUGGACCCGCGUCUGAUUAGCUUGUUGGUAGGGUAACGGCCUACCAAGGCGACGAUCAGUAGCCGGCCUGAGAGGGUGAACGGCCACAUUGGGACUGAGACACGGCCCAAACUCCUACGGGAGGCAGCAGUGGGGAAUAUUGGACAAUGGGGGAAACCCUGAUCCAGCGACGCCGCGUGAGUGAAGGAGUAUUUCGGUAUGUAAAGCUCUAUCAGCAGGGAAGAAAAUGACGGUACCUGACUAAGAAGCCCCGGCUAACUACGUGCCAGCCGCCGC
rnacentral:rRNA from 1 species